GGAGAGGUGGCCGAGCGGCCGAAGGCGCGGCACUGGAAAUGCCGUAUGGGCGAAAGUUCAUCGCGGGUUCAAAUCCCGCCCUCUCCG
rnacentral:tRNA from 1 species